rnacentral:rRNA from 1 species
GACGUAGGAUGCAAGCGUUGUCCGGAUUUAUUGGGCGUAAAGAGUUCGUAGGCGGUUCGUUAAGUCUGAUGUUAAAGACUGGGGCUCAACCCUGGGAGUGCAUUGGAUACUGGCGGACUGGAGUACAGUAGAGGCAAGCGGAAUUCCCAGUGUAGCGGUGAAAUGCGUAGAUAUUGGGAAGAACACCGGUGGCGCAAGCGGCUUGCUGGGCUGUAACUGACGCUGAGGAACGAAAGCUAGGGUAGCGAAUGGG